CACGUGAGCAAUCUGCCCCGAACUCUGGGAUAAGCGUUGGAAACGACGUCUAAUACCGGAUACGACGCGCGAAGGCAUCUUCUGCGCGUGGAAAGAAUUUCGGUUCGGGAUGAGCUCGCGGCCUAUCAGCUAGUUGGUGAGGUAAUGGCCCACCAAGGCGACGACGGGUAGCCGGCCUGAGAGGGUGACCGGCCACACUGGGACUGAGACACGGCCCAGACUCCUACGGGAGGCAGCAGUGGGGAAUAUUGCACAAUGGGCGCAAGCCUGAUGCAGCAACGCCGCGUGAGGGACGACGGC
rnacentral:rRNA from 1 species